AAAGUAAAAAUCACAUCCACAUCUGAGGAAAACAUUUUUGUUAAGUACACUGCAACCCUCCUGGAUGUUUACAAAGCUGGCGAAGCAGCUGUGGAAAGAGCCGCUGAAAUUACCUUCCUUAAGAAGACAAAUUGUGCUAACACUGACUUGGAGAAAGGAAGUCAGUAUUUGAUUAUGGGCAAGGAAGCUCUCCAGAUCAAACACAACUUCAGCUUCAAGUAUAUCUACCCUUUAGAUUCCUCCACAUGGAUUGAAUAUUGGCCCACAGAUACACAGUGUCCAUCGUGCCAAGCGCUUUUAGCUAACUUAGAUGACUUUGCUGAUGACAUCUUCCUAAAUGGCUGCGAAGUAGCCUGAAGUCAACUGGGAAGGAAUUUGGAUUCCUGGUAUCAAAGCUUCCUUCUCCCACCUGCUCCCCUUCACCACCACCACCCAUUUUUUCAAUAUGCACAGCUGCUUGUAUUUGGAAACCUCACUUUUCUUAGGAUUGAGUGGCACUUGCCUUUAUUAAAGAACAAUUUUAAGGGCUGUCA